UAGCUCAACGGCAGAGCGCCAGAUUGUGGAUCUGGUGGUUGCGGGUUCAACUCCCG
rnacentral:tRNA from 1 species